rnacentral:rRNA from 1 species
GACGAACGCUGGCGGCGUGCUUAACACAUGCAAGUCGAACGGAAAGGCCCUGCUUUUGUGGGGUGCUCGAGUGGCGAACGGGUGAGUAACACGUGAGUAACCUGCCCUUGACUUUGGGAUAACUUCAGGAAACUGGGGCUAAUACCGGAUAGGAGCUCCUGCUGCAUGGUGGGGGUUGGAAAGUUUCGGCGGUUGGGGAUGGACUCGCGGCUUAUCAGCUUGUUGGUGGGGUAGUGGCUUACCAAGGCUUUGACGGGUAGCCGGCCUGGGAGGGUGACCGGCCCCAUUGGGACUGAGAGACGGCCCAGACUCCUACGGGAGGCAGCAGUGGGGAAUAUUGCACAAUGGGCGGAAGCCUGAUGCAGCAACGCCGCGUGCGGGAUGACGGCCUUCGGGUUGUAAACCGCUUUCGCCUGUGACGAAGCGUGAGUGACGGUAAUGGGUAAAGAAGCACCGGCUAACUACGU